rnacentral:rRNA from 1 species
AGUAACGCGUGAGCAACCUGCCUAUGACAGUGGGAUAGCCUCGGGAAACCGGGAUUAAUACCGCAUAAAAUCGUAGAAACACAUGUUUCAACGGUCAAAGAUUUAUCGGUCAUAGAUGGGCUCGCGUCUGAUUAGCUAGUUGGUGAGAUAACAGCCCACCAAGGCGACGAUCAGUAGCCGGUCUGAGAGGAUGAACGGCCACACUGGAACUGAGACACGGUCCAG